CUGUGGUGUGCUGAAAGAAUAAGCUGAGAUGUAGGGGCAAGCACCUUCCUUGGGACUUUGAGGAAGGUCUAUUGAUGGAGGGAAGAACUACCUGUAAAAAGGGUGUUGAUUUAUUGACAGCUCCUUAAGAAGGCGAUUGUACAAAACAGUAAAGCAUUGGAAAAGCACUCUUAAAAUCCUUUUUUAAAAGGUCAAAUAAAAACCACAGCAUAAAAAAUACAAAACUAAAAGUGGUCACUCACAGCAAUGGGUUGGUGGGAAAAGACUCUACUACAGGGAGCAUCACACAUGUGAAUUCAGAGCACAGACCAGCUGUUGCUACUUGCAAUUAAUCUGAAGUAAUUGUUUGGAGGUGUGAGCUACCUUGCCUAAGGAACUGAUGGAGAUCAGCUGUAUGGUGGACACAGAAUGAUGGUCUUAUACUGCCACAAGCCAAAUUCAGCUUGUUGGAGCUGUUGCUGAAGAUGCCAUGAGACUUCCCAGUGAUCUUCAGAUCAGGUUAACAGCCAAUAGGAUGGACACCCCAGUCUCAUCUUAGUGAUGCAAAUUGGGAAUGACCCCUUCAGUCAGUGUCUAUGUAUAGCCAUGCCUGUGGAAGGAGGCAGUAACAUCUACUUUAAAAUACCUGUUAAACUUGAAGCGUGUAGGAGAAAGGAAAACGGUUCAAAGAGAAGCAGAGAAUACUGAAAUCAAGAUAUUGCUGCUGUCUUCCAAGCAAUGACAACAUUGUCAUUUUUGCCUUUCUUCUUAAGAGAUUAAAGCUGAACGCACUGAUGCUAGGACUUACGCAUGUUUAACUUUCCUAAGUAUUCACGUCAUUGUAAUUUGAUUCAUUUCCAUUCAGC
rnacentral:lncRNA from 1 species